CAGUCGCCGCGGUAAUACGAAGGGGGCUAGCGUUACUCGGAAUUACUGGGCGUAAAGGGCGCGUAGGCGGCACGAUUAGUCAGGCGUGAAAUUCCUGGGCUCAACCUGGGGACUGCGCUUGAUACGGUCGAGCUAGAGGAUGGAAGAGGGUCGUGGAAUUCCCAGUGUAGAGGUGAAAUUCGUAGAUAUUGGGAAGAACACCGGUGGCGAAGGCGGCGACCUGGUCCAUUACUGACACUGAGGUGCGAAAGCGUGGGGAGCAAACAGGAUUAGAUACCCCCGUAGUCCCUGUCUCUUAUAA
rnacentral:rRNA from 1 species